GGCAGAUCCGCGUGUGAACAAGAUGCACAACUCCGAUAGUUUCUCUCCAAAUUGCCACGUGCGUCCACUUAUCAGUGCAUUCGUAACAACUUAACCAUUACUAAACUUCGUUUCGAUCAAAUACGCCUCAAGUAGCAAGCAACUUUCGUUGACCAAAAUCGACACUCACUGACCUCCAUACAAAAAUCCCACUUGUGGUCUUAUUUUCGUGGACACAUUUUGUGCGGCGUAAACCCUUUCACUACGCUUCUUCCAAUCGAAAGACCAAACGUCGCCUAUUUACCGUAUUAACUGCACUUGGGAUCAAAACUAAUGACGCAUUCUGAAUGUAUGGCAACCUCUGAGUAAUUACGGCUGAUCCCCCUUGAUCAGGACCCCUGUCAGCCCAGUGUGAGAGGCCUGACCUAUGCAUCCCAGGACCCCUGUCAGCCCAGUGUGAGAGGCCUGACCUAUGCAUCCCAGGACCCCUGUCAGCCCAGUGUGAGAGGCCUGACCUAUGCAUCCCAGGACCCCUGUCGGCCCAGUGUGAGAGGCCUGACCUAUGCAUCCCAGGACCCCUGUCGGCCCAGUGUGAGAGGCCUGACCUAUGCAUCCCAGGACCCCUGUCGGCCCAGUGUGAGAGGCCUGACAAGGAGGCGGGCAUAGCUAUUUGUCUCCCACGUCAAUCUUGAGGGUGACUGAAGCCUGCUUGAUUGAAGUGGGGUAUGCGGGUCUCCAUCAAUCUCUGUAGGUGGUUGAGUUUUCUAAAGUCAAAGUAAAUCACGUUUACGUGAUGACAUCACACUUUGUUACUUUGUAUAGUUUCUUGAAGCAUUCGGACAGGAGAGCAGUGCUACAAAUUGUAUGAGUCAAAGGGUCCUGCACACUGUUGGGUGGCCGGGUGCCCAUAUAAGGCAUAUGGCUCUAAUAUAUUUCUUAAAUGUCAAAUGAUGUCUCAUUAUUUCUCACCAUCAUUUAUGUUGAUCAAUAUUUCGGUUGUGCUGGCCUAAUUUGUAAAUGAUCAAAUAAAUGUCUGAUCAAUACAUACAAUUCUGAAUAUAUUGCUAUUUAUAAUGCUAAUGAAGAGGCACCAAUAAAUUGUCCAGUACACUCAUUAUAUGCUGUUUUCAUAUACAUACCUUUAUGUCUACACUUCUAAGGUGUCUCAGGCUUUACUAAUUAUUGUGAAGAAAUGUAUUCUGUAAUUAGUUACAAAACAAUAGUCUGACUAAACUUCAUAUGGAGAAAAGGAAUGCUGUAUCCUAUUUUGGAAACGUACGACUUUGUUAUUGGACUAAUAUAUGCAUAAACACAGUGCAUCUGUACACCAAGAAUGAUAUGUAAAUGUGACACAUGUCAAGAACACGAGCCAGUUCUCUUGGCCAUGAGAGCAUUUUGCAGAGAAAAUGGGUUGUGAAUUACAAUUUAGGUAAGGAUUGUUUACCUUGUUACCAGGCGACGACCACAAGGGCGUUUUCAAAGAGCUCUCAUUCAAGGCGAGCUCAUGAAUAUAAGCUCUCCUCCCACUCAGCCUGUUCUUUCAGGCUUCCUGAUAGUUAGAGAUCAGAGAAUGUACAAUUUCUUCAAUUCUGAGCAUUUUAAUGGUGUAAAAAUAUUAUGGGGGAUGUUUUGGUCAUGCAAAGGCUAUUUUUGCUUGGGAAAUAGGAUGAUUUAGGAGAAAUUGUAGAAAUAGGCAGGGUUUAGGGUUGUCAUUAGUUGACACAAAGUCCUUUUUAAUACAAAAAAAC
ensembl:lncRNA